rnacentral:rRNA from 1 species
GACGUAGGGCGCGAGCGUUGUCCGGAUUUAUUGGGCGUAAAGAGCUCGUAGGCGGCUUGUUGCGUCAGCUGUGAAAACCCGCAGCUCAACUGUGGGCUUGCAGCUGAUACGGGCAGGCUUGAGUUCGGUAGGGGAGACUGGAAUUCCUGGUAUAGCGGUGAAAUGCGCAGAUAUCAGGAGGAACACCGAUGGCGAAGGCAGCUCGCUGGGACGGUACUGACGCUGAGGAGCGAAAGCCAGGGGAGCAAACGGGG